rnacentral:rRNA from 1 species
UACGGGGGGUGCGAGCGUUGUCCGGAAUCACUGGGCGUAAAGGGCGCGUAGGUGGUCUUGUAAGUCUGUGGUGAAAGCCCGGGGCUCAACCCCGGGUCUGCCGUGGAUACUGUGAGACUUGAGUACUGUAGAGGCUGGUAGAAUGCCGGGUGUAGCGGUGGAAUGCGUAGAGAUCCGGCAGAAGACCGGUGGCGAAGGCGGCCAGCUGGGCAGUAACUGACACUGAGGCGCGACAGCGUGGGGAGCAAACAGG